ensembl:lncRNA
AAUGAUUUUCAGGAAACAAAGUAUUUUAUUUUAUUAUUUUCAAUUCUAGCAUUCAUUGUAUUGUAGAGACAAUUAUUUGACUUAAAUUAGUUGAAGGAGCCGUUUACCCAAUUGAAUUUUAACCCAUUCGUGCUAACUCCAAACUUGCGUGUCAAAACUGUUAUCUGUGUUAUUUUCUGGAACGUGUUUGCGCCACAGUUUAUCAACCUCACAUACGUUUUUAUUAGUUUAGCGUUGGCCUAAAAUUCGCAAGUCUCUGUUUUACAGACCAAGAUGUCGGAGGGCGAGCGGCCAUUCGAAAACGCACAGGACGACGGCAAUGAUGACGGAGAUGAUGUGCUUAGCAUGGAGGAGGAGCUGUGCUUAAGACUUGACACUAUGAGGGACUUUUUCCUCCAGCAGCUGAAGGCCAUAAGAUACUCGCUGUUUUCAUCUCAGACCAAGGUGCACAAGGAUUUAAAAGCCUUCAAGGAGUCCAUCUUGACGGAGGAGCUGAAUUUCUACAGAGAGAGGCUAGAGGCAAAGGUAACAUCUGACUUCCAGCUGCUGGAGGAAAACUGCAAUUCUGCUAAACGUGAUGUUGUUGAAAUGGUGAAGGCCGUUGGGGAAUCUGUGACCAAGAGGAUGGAUGCGGUGGACAGGAUAUUCCUGGCUUCGAGGAUCACUGCAAUGGAAGCGGAGGUCCGCAACACGGUGCCUUCUUUUGAAGCGAGCACGCCGACACGCCGUGCUCAUGGCCUUUUGAGCAGAGCUGAAGCACUUUCCUCCACCCAGGUGACAGAUGUGGGACAAGACACGGAGAUCUUCCUGGACCUUCAGAGUGUGGCUUCUUCAUCUCCGAUCAGCCCUGGUCAGCGUGCGGUGUUGACCACAGCAACGUCCUUUGAAUCCAGCUCUGACCAGAACCCAGAACGUGAUGAAGCACUUUCCUCCACCCAGGUUUUGGAUGUGGGACGCGACACUGAGAUCUUCCUGGACCUUCAGAGUGCAGCCUCUCCUUCUCAGAUUGGCCCGAGUCAGCUUGCGGUGUUGACCACAACAACGUCCUUUGAAUCUAGCUCUGACCAGAACCCAGAACGAGAUGAAGCACUUUCCUCCACCCAGGUUUCGGAUGUGGGACGCGACAUGGAGAUCUCCCUGGACCUUCAGAGUUUACCUCUCGCCCAGGCCGGUUCCUCGGGACUUCAGAGACAGCCCCCCACUAUGCACAAGCGCAAGCUGGCCCAGUCUCCAGACGAUCUGGAACCUGAACUUUCUGCCAAAAUAAGGCCCUACAUGAGACUGAGGCACACACGACAAGAGAAACUUACAGGACUCCAGGCUGCAUUCUUCAAUCUCCAAAUGGACAGGCUGAACAUUAAUGACACCAAGAGCCUCGCAGACAAGGCAGAAGUCAUAAAAGGAGCUGGUGAGAGACCAAGACCAAGAAUCAAGGAUCUUCAGGCGUACCUCGAAGAGAGAAUCAAGACUACUUUGAAGAGGAGAAGUAGUGAGCUUCUUGUGGAGAAAAUAAAAAAAUAAAUAAACGAACGUUACUAAAGCUAGUGUCCGAGCGUCAAUAACACGUAACACCCUGACAUUUUAGUACUGAAGUUUUCAUUUAUGAGUACAUUUACAUAAUAUACAUAAUUUUUG